rnacentral:rRNA from 1 species
GACGAACGCUGGCGGCGUGCCUAAUACAUGCAAGUUGAGCGCUGAAGGUUGGUACUUGUACCAACUGGAUGAGCAGCGAACGGGUGAGUAACGCGUGGGGAAUCUGCCUUUGAGCGGGGGACAACAUUUGGAAACGAAUGCUAAUACCGCAUAAAAACUUUAAACACAAGUUUUAAGUUUGAAAGAUGCAAUUGCAUCACUCAAAGAUGAUCCCGCGUUGUAUUAGCUAGUUGGUGAGGUAAAGGCUCACCAAGGCGAUGAUACAUAGCCGACCUGAGAGGGUGAUCGGCCACAUUGGGACUGAGACACGGCCCAAACUCCUACGGGAGGCAGCAGUAGGGAAUCUUCGGCAAUGGAAGAAAGGCGGACCGAGCAACGCCGCGUGAGUGAAGAAGGUUUUCGGAUCGUAAAACUCUGUUGGUAGAGAAGAACGUUGGUGAGAGUGGAAAGCUCAGCAAGUGACGGUAACUACCCAGAAAGGGACGGCUAACUACGUG